rnacentral:rRNA from 1 species
AUUGAACGCUGGCGGCAUGCCUUACACAUGCAAGUCGAACGGCAGCGGACCUUCGGGUGCCGGCGAGUGGCGAACGGGUGAGUAAUAUAUCGGAACGUACCUUUCAGUGGGGGAUAACGUAGCGAAAGUUACGCUAAUACCGCAUAUUCUGUGAGCAGGAAAGCAGGGGAUCGCAAGACCUUGCGCUGAUUGAGCGGCCGAUAUCAGAUUAGCUAGUUGGUGAGGUAAAGGCUCACCAAGGCGACGAUCUGUAGCGGGUCUGAGAGGAUGAUCCGCCACACUGGAACUGAGACACGGUCCAGACUCCUACGGGAGGCAGCAGUGGGGAAUUUUGGACAAUGGACGCAAGUCUGAUCCAGCAAUGCCGCGUGCAGGACGAAGGCCUCGGUUGU